CAUCCAUUAUUCCAAGUGAUGACCACCCCAAGGAUGCACUUUUCUGCACAGCCAGAUAUGUACUAUUUUUGCUGAUUUUAACAGGAAAACAAACCUGCUUUCUCAUUCUUUCUUGACUACAUACUAAAACUUUGGAAAAGUGGAUUCAGCUAUGAAACUCACAGGAUGUCCUUGGGUAUUUUUUUUUUGGACUAGCUUCCCUCACAAGAUUGUUCAGAUCUUAAAGAGAUCUCCCCUCUCUCUGGAUUACAGAAUCUGGGACUUUGAGAAUCAUUGUCCAAAAGAAGAAUGCUUCUAAGCUCGAGAACUGUUGUGACAUGCAAAGGAGGAGAAUGAAGACAGGGUGAUGUAUACUGCCCUGAACUCACUGGAGGAAGGCACACCCUUACGAAACCUAUGCCGAAGAAAUGGCAAAUCCUGGGCACUGCCUCAUAAAAACAAACAAUGUGGAUGCCAGACAGGACCGAUCACCAUGGCAACUGGAUUACAGCCGAGGUGAGCAAAGCUAUGAGAAAUAAGAGAGAGAUUGGAGGGAGUACAUUUGUUCCAGAGAGCUAGUGUGGUGUAGAGGUUUGAACGUUGGACUGCAACUCUGGAGACUGGGGUUCAAAUCCCGUUCAGCCAUGAAAACCCACUGGAUGACUUUGGGUAAGCCCUAGAAAACCCUGUGAGAAGUUCAGCUUAGGGUCAGCAUAUGUUGGAAAUGACCUGAAGGCACACAAUAACAACAGUAACAUUAAGCUCCUUCUGCGUAUUACACACAUACAAAGAUGUGACAGAAUGUCAACAGAGGGAACUGUCAACAGUGCGGUCAUCUUGGGAAGGAGUCAUAGAUAAAAUAUUGAUAUUUGGAACCUUCUGUGAAUUUAAAACUUUGUCUUCAUUGCCACCACAAGUGAGGGCUGGAAAACACUCCCAUCUCCUUGAAGUGGAGAAAACAGCUCCCUGAGAAAGUACUUCCCUGCCAAAGGGCUGCCAGACUGAACAAGGCUGGAAGAAAACAAUCCAGUUGCAAUCAAACUAGGAUCAAUAAAAAUACUGCCUCAAAAAACCCGCUAUCCUAAGGUCCAAAUAGAAAAAUCUACAGAAAUCAGAGAAGGUGUCUUUGUAAUUGUGAAACUCUGGAGAAUGAAAUGAUCAGCCCAAACAUCCUAUUGUAAUUUUGGAAUAUAUUUUAACCAUUGCUGAAUGUAGGAGGAAUAGUAAAUGGCGGAAGAAGAUUAGAAAUGGGAUAAAUUAUAAGGUACAUUUAAGAAUCCCUUCAGUGCAUCUGAACCAGUGGAUUGCAAGACCCAGACCAUUAGUUUUAAAGUGACAUAACACUCUACUUUUUAAAAAUUUUCUUCUUUUUAUAGUGAAGCUGAAUAAUGCAUUUACUUCUUUAGAGAAAAUGCUUGAAUUUAGAUGAUGGUUCGAGAAAGAUUGUGUAUAUUGUUUGCUCAAAAUGGGAAUGCUAACAAGUUGCAAAAUUUCAUUCCUUAUCAAACGAAGCUUGGUAAAAUAAGGGUGAGUGAGGCAAAAUGAAAUCUGUGUGGAUAGGUCUAGUAAAAAUGACCUAAAUGUAUGGAAAAGGGUUUCUGCAAACUGAGUCUCUUAGUAGAUUAGCACAGAAAGCUAAUUAAAAUCUAUAGAAAAGAGAAUUCUACCUGAUGAAAUGAAAUGGGUCUAAUUUAAAGCAUAGUUUGCUAUAAACAGAGGAGAGUAAUUAAAAUGCAAAAAGGUCUGGAAACCAUGCUCUAUGACAAACAGCUUAGGUUGAAGGAUAUGUUUAAUUUGGAGAAAAGAAGGUUAAGACAUGACAUAAUAGCCAUGUUUAAAUAUUUGAAAGGAUGUCAUAUUGAGGAUGGACCAAGCUUGUUUUCUGAUGCUUGAAGGACUAGGACUGAGAGUAAUUAACUCAAAUUACAGAAAAAGAGAUUCCACUUAAAGAUGAGAAAGAAUGUCCUGGUGGCAAGAGCUGUUCAACAAUGGAAUAUCCUGCCUUGGAUUGGUCUUAAGAGUUUUCCUUAUCUGGAAGUUGUUAAACAAGAGGGUAGAUAUCUGUCAUAGGUGCUUUGAUUGUGAAUUCCUGCAUGGUAGAAUGGGUUGGACUAGACUGUCACUGUGGUCUCUUCUAACUCUAUGGUUUACUCAUUCUUGCUCCCCAGAGCAGUUCUGUAUUUUUUUCUAAAAGCAAUAAAUGUAAUUAGAUGGACAUAACCUUUCCCUUCUCUCUCACACACAAACAUGCGAACCUACAAACAUUCAAGUUAGUAAACAGGAACUGAUACCUAUUACCUGGAACAGAAAGUAUCACUCUGCUUGGGCUGUUUAUCACAUACAAAAUGCUCAACACUCAAUGGGGAUGUUGUCCUCAUACUGAGCUGUCCUUGUAAAAGUUAAAUACCAAGGAUGAGAGCAGUCACUUGAACCGAAACACCAACUGCCUGUAUAUUUCAGCCCCUGGACAUGAUGCAUGACUCUUGGAGAAAAACUGAGGAGGAGGAGACAACUGCAGUGGCAGAAUGGUUGGUUGCCUGGGAGAAGACCCAAGAGAGCACUCAGACAGCAAAGUAUGAGCUCUGGAAAAACUCCUGGGGAAAAGUGUUAUUGCUCAAUAAUAGCUGUGGAAUGAGCUAUCUGAACAACUUUAAUGAACAGAAAUGAGACCAACAACAAAAACCAGAAAAAAGUAGGAAUUAGUGUACAUUCCAGAGAAAUAGCCUGGGAAUUGUCAGCAUGAAAGAGACAUGCACCACAUGCUGAUGGUGGAAGACAGACUGAGAUUUUUCAGAAGCAAACACAUUCUAAUACAGAACUCUAUGACCACAGUUCAUAAAGGGAUCAGCUGCAUAAGGAUGUAACUGUUUGCUCCUUGCAGAUGGAAUUUGCUGAAGAAUCCACACAUGAAUGUAAAAUCCAAUCACAGCAUGUUAAAAGCUAAAGGAGACUACCAGUUCCUCUCUUUUAAUCUCUUGCACUAAGAGAACUAAGGCAUUCUAGAUACAUGCCUAUGCAGUCUUUUCCUUGAAAUGUAAAUUUUUCCUAAGAAGCAUUAAAAACAUACUCAGACUCUG